UAUUAUGCGGUUCGGUAUAAACU
rnacentral:snRNA from 1 species